rnacentral:rRNA from 1 species
AACUCCGUGCCAGCAGCCCGCGGUAAUACGGAGGGUGCAAGCGUUAUCCGACUACUUGGGCGUAAAGCGCACGCAGGCGUUUGUUAAGUCAGAUGUGAAAUCCCCGGGCUCAACCUGGGAACUGCAUCUGAUANNGGCAAGCUGAGUNUCNNAGAGGGGGGUAGAAUUNCAGGUGUAGCGGUGAAAUGCGUAGAGAUCUGGAGGAAUACCGGUGGNGNNGGCGGCCCCCUGGACGAAGACUGACGCUCAGGUGCGAAAGCGUGGGGAGCAAACAGGAUUAGAUACCNUGGUAGUCCACGCCGUAAACGANGUCGACUUGGAGGUUGUGCCNNGAGGCGUGGCUUCCGGAGCUAACGCGUUAAGUCGACCGCCUGGGGAGUACGGCCGCAAGGUUAAAACUCAAAUGAAUUGACGGGGGCCCGCACAAGCGGUGGAGCAUGUGGUUUAAUUCGAUGCAACGCGAAGAACCUUACCUGGUCUUGACAUCCACGGAAGUUUUCAGAGAUGAGAAUGUGCCUUCGGGAACCGUGAGACAGGUGCUGCAUGGCUGUCGUCAGCUCGUGUUGUGAAAUGUUGGGUUAAGUCCCGCAACGAGCGCAACCCUUAUCCUUUGUUGCCAGCGGUCCGGCCGGGAACUCAAAGGAGACUGCCAGUGAUAAACUGGAGGAAGGUGGGGAUGACGUCAAGUCAUCAUGGCCCUUACGACCAGGGCUACACACGUGCUACAAUGGCGCAUACAAAGAGAAGCGACCUCGCGAGAGCAAGCGGACCUCAUAAAGUGCGUCGUAGUCCGGAUUGGAGUCUGCAACUCGACUCCAUGAAGUCGGAAUCGCUAGUAAUCGUGGAUCAGAAUGCCACGGUGAAUACGUUCCCGGGCCUUGUACACACCGCCCGUCACACCAUGGGAGUGGGUUGCAAAAGAAGUAGGUAGCUUAACCUUCGGGAGGGCGCUUACCACUUUGUGAUUCAUGACUGGGGUG